rnacentral:lncRNA from 1 species
CCUCACCACCUCCAGCCUGCAUCACCUCGUUGAAGAAAAAAUCAAACUUAAUCUAUUUACCCCGAAAAUAGAGACCGGGUUUUGAAAACUUAAAUAGAAAAAUGAACACAUUUGUCACCCAUUUUCUCCCAAAAUCGUACCCUGAAAAGCUAUUACCGUUUCAUCGACACACGGUCCUCACCACCUCCAGCCUGCAUCACCUCGUUGAAGAAAAAAUCAAACUUAAUCUAUUUACCCCGAAAAUAGAGACCGGGUUUUGAAAACUUAAAAAGACAAAUGAACACAUUUGUCACCCAUUUUCUCCCAAAAUUGUACCCUGGAAAGCCACUGUCGUUUCGCUGACACACAAUCCUCACCACCUCUGGCCUGCAUCACCCCGUUGAAGAAGAAAUCAACCUCAAUUUAUUUACCCCUAAAACAAAGACCGGGUUUUGAAAACACCUCCGUCACAAAUUAAUUCGAAUUUGUAGAUCGAUAAAAAGAUGUGAGCUGCAAACUUCCAGCAACCAUGAAGUCUACACCAAAAUCGUCAUCUGCCUAUGAACACAUCAUUUAUAUGCAUCGCUUGAGAGUAAGCAAUUGUUGUGGUUGUUGAUAUGUUUUUGUAAGGGUUUUAUAUUUGUGUUCAACGAAAUGAAUUCUUCGUC